rnacentral:rRNA from 1 species
GACGAACGCUGGCGGCGUGCUUAACACAUGCAAGUCGAACGGAAAGGCCCUUCGGGGUACUCGAGUGGCGAACGGGUGAGUAACACGUGGGUGAUCUGCCCUGCACUUUGGGAUAAGCCUGGGAAACUGGGUCUAAUACCGAAUAUGAUCAUCGGCUUCAUGGUCGGUGGUGGAAAGCUUUUGCGGUGUGGGAUGGGCCCGCGGCCUAUCAGCUUGUUGGUGGGGUAAUGGCCUACCAAGGCGACGACGGGUAGCCGGCCUGAGAGGGUGACCGGCCACACUGGGACUGAGAUACGGCCCAGACUCCUACGGGAGGCAGCAGUGGGGAAUAUUGCACAAUGGGCGCAAGCCUGAUGCAGCGACGCCGCGUGAGGGAUGGCGGCCUUCGGGUUGUAAACCUCUUUCAGCACAGACGAAGCGCAAGUGACGGUAUGUGCAGAAGAAGGACCGGCCAACUACGUG